rnacentral:rRNA from 1 species
GAUGAACGCUGGCGGCGUGCCUAAUACAUGCAAGUCGAGCGAACGGACGAGAAGCUUGCUUCUCUGAUGUUAGCGGCGGACGGGUGAGUAACACGUGGAUAACCUACCUAUAAGACUGGGAUAACUUCGGGAAACCGGAGCUAAUACAGGAUAAGAUUUUGAACCGCAUGGUUCAAAAGUGAACGACGGUCUUGCUGUCACUUAUAGAUGGAUCCGCGCUGCAUUAGCUAGUUGGUAAGGUAACGGCUUACCAAGGCAACGAUGCAUAGCCGACCUGAGAGGGUGAUCAGCCACACUGGAACUGAGACACGGUCCAGACUCCUACGGGAGGCAGCAGUAGGGAAUCUUCCGCAAUGGGCGAAAGCCUGACGGAGCAACGCCGCGUGAGUGAUGAAGGUCUUCGGAUCGUAAAACUCUGUUAUUAGGGAAGAACAUAUGUGUAAGUAACUGUUCACAUCUUGACGGUACCUAAUCAGAAAGCCACGGCUAACUACGUG